AAUCUAUCUUUCUACAGCGCGACAGAGCGACGAAAACAAAAUUAUUUGAAUCGAUCUCGCCGCUCGAUCUAACCGCUCGAGCAGAUCGCUUUACUAUGCUCGCACGUACUUGUCUUUACAGGUUUGUUUUGGACGCGCUAUCCUCGUCGCUCCACUAUGUUCUUAGCCAUAAGCUGGAUUUAUAAACUCGGGAGUUGAGGUUCAGUUGCCGUUCAAAAUGUUCAACGCUAUGAAAUGAACGCGCGCAUUUAUAAAGCCAGUUGGUCGAAAAGUUGGCAGUUCGUUUUACUUUCAGCGGAGUUCAAAGAUGGUCAAUGUUUAUGUCGGCAGUUGCGGGCAGUUGGCGACCGCUGGCGACGUUCGGCGACAGCCAAUG